rnacentral:lncRNA from 1 species
CUGUCACGCCCCGGGACCGAUGCCAAUUUGGCCCGACCCGAGCACGUCAAACAGACGCCGAACGGACAGAGUUUCCCCUAUCCGCCCAAGGCUCAUCACAUGUACAUUUUCAUCAAUAGAGAAAAGCACUAGCGGAAACAUACACAAACGGCUUACACGAGGGUAAGCAAUAGCCAUCAGUGAAAGAAAAAGGAAACUAAACAUUUACGAGUAACAUGAUUCAUUUUGGAUCAUAUACAUUGCAUUCAUCUAGUAAUUUUGAAUUCUUUGCAUUCCAUUACAUAACUUCAUCAUUUCUUUCUUACAUCACAUUUUCCUCAAAAUGAGCUUUACAUUCUUUUCUUUACAUUACUAUCAUCAAAUACAAAAGAUGAUCAUAAGGUACUUUACUAACAAAAUAUAACCCAACUUUGGUGGCCUCUGUCUAAGGCGCGAUACCUUUACCUCGGUCGCUCGCCGGCUCGCUCGGUCCCGGCUCUGUGGAAAUAGUGGGGUGAG